rnacentral:rRNA from 1 species
ACGGAAGGCAGCAGUGAGGAAUAUUGGUCAAUGGACGGAAGUCUGAACCAGCCAAGUCGCGUGCGGGAUGAAGGCCCUACGGGUCGUAAACCGCUUUUGUACGGGGAUAAAGUCACCCACGUGUGGGUGUUUGUAGGUACCGUAAGCAUAAGGAUCGGCUAACUCCGUGCCAGCAGCCGCGGUAAUACGGAGGAUCCGAGCGUUAUCCGGAUUUAUUGGGUUUAAAGGGUGCGCAGGCGGGCUGCUAAGUCUCCGGUGAAAUGUCAGGGCUCAACCUUGGCACUGCCGGAGAUACUGGCGGACUUGAGAGUGGAGGAGGUAACCGGAAUGUGUGGUGUAGCGGUGAAAUGCAUAGAUAUCACACAGAACACCGAUUGCGAAGGCAGGAUACCAGACCAUAUCUGACGCUCAGGCACGAAAGCGUGGGGAUCGAACAGGAUUAGAUACCCUGGUA